UGCAAGUCGUACGCUUCUUUUUCCACCGGAGCUUGCUCCACCGGAAAAAGAAGAACGGGUGAGUAACACGUGGGUAACCUGCCCAUCAGAAGGGGAUAACACUUGGAAACAGGUGCUAAUACCGUAUAACAAUCGAAACCGCAUGGUUUUGAUUUGAAAGGCGCUUUCGGGUGUCGCUGAUGGAUGGACCCGCGGUGCAUUAGCUAGUUGGUGAGGUAACGGCUCACCAAGGCCACGAUGCAUAGCCGACCUGAGAGGGUGAUCGGCCACAUUGGGACUGAGACACGGCCCAAACUCCUACGGGAGGCAGCAGUAGGGAAUCUUCGGCAAUGGACGAAAGUCUGACCGAGCAACGCCGCGUGAGUGAAGAAGGUUUUCGGAUCGUAAAACUCUGUUGUUAGAGAAGAACAAGGAUGAGAGUAACUGUUCAUCCCUUGACGGUAUCUAACCAGAAAGCCACGGCUAACUACGUGCCAGCAGCCGCGGUAAU
rnacentral:rRNA from 1 species